rnacentral:lncRNA from 1 species
GGGUCUAUUUCUAAUGUAUAUUCCGCACAGUGAUGCGAGAAGGGUGAGGGGAGGGUGAUGAAAAUGGAGUUUUGGAAGUCAGAGAAUGAGUUUCUCUGUUAUGUGUAAUACGUGAUGGAAUUCCGUUUUUUAUCAGGAGACUCCUUUCUUCCAGAGAGUCGAGAGUCGUGUGUGUACCCUCUCCUUUGUCUCCACCAUGAUCCUCCCUCCCAAUCCAAAACCAAUUGCCUGUCCAAAACGUGCCUGCAGAAAAACCGAUCCAAAACGAAUUGCCUGUCCAAAACGUGUCUGCAGAAAAACCGUUUCUUGCCCCCUUUGCCAAAACUUUUGUCGCCUUGUACACGUUGCCAUUGCUAAAAACAUUUCUUUUCUCUCUUAUUUUUUUAAAAAAAAAGAAUAUAGAAAAUAAAAUAAAAAUCUAAUAAUAAUAAUAAAGCUAAAUCAAAUAAUAAAAUAAAAAAAAAAAAAAGACACAAACAAAGACUAAGUCCUAUUCUUCAGUCACC